rnacentral:rRNA from 1 species
UUAAGCGACUAAGCGUACACGGUGGAUGCCCUGGCAGUCAGAGGCGAUGAAGGACGUGCUAAUCUGCGAAAAGCGCCGGCGAGGUGAUAUGAACCUUUGACCCGGCGAUGUCCGAAUGGGGAAACCCAGUGCAAUUCGUUGCACUAUCGUUAACUGAAUACAUAGGUUAACGAGGCGAACCGGGGGAACUGAAACAUCUAAGUACCCCGAGGAAAAGAAAUCAACCGAGAUUCCCCCAGUAGCGGCGAGCGAACGGGGAGCAGCCCGGAGUCUGAAUCAGCUUGUGUGUUAGUGGAACGGUCUGGAAAGUCCGACGGUACAGGGUGAUAGUCCCGUACACGAAAGCACACAUGCUGUGAACUCGAAGAGUAGGGCGGGACACGUGGUAUCCUGUCUGAAUAUGGGGGGACCAUCCUCCAAGGCUAAAUACUCCUGACUGACCGAUAGUGAACCAGUACCGUGAGGGAAAGGCGAAAAGAACCCCGGCGAGGGGAGUGAAAAAGAACCUGAAACCGUGUACGUACAAGCAGUGGGAGCCUCUUUAUGGGGUGACUGCGUACCUUUUGUAUAAUGGGUCAGCGACUUAUAUUCUGUAGCAAGGUUAACCGUAUAGGGGAGCCGAAGGGAAACCGAGUCUUAACUGGGCGUUAAGUUGCAGGGUAUAGACCCGAAACCCGGUGAUCUAGCCAUGGGCAGGUUGAAGGUUGGGUAACACUAACUGGAGGACCGAACCGACUAAUGUUGAAAAAUUAGCGGAUGACCUGUGGCUGGGGGUGAAAGGCCAAUCAAACCGGGAGAUAGCUGGUUCUCCCCGAAAGCUAUUUAGGUAGCGCCUCGUGAAUUCAUCUUCGGGGGUAGAGCACUGUUUCGGCUAGGGGGCCAUCCCGGCUUACCAACCCGAUGCAAACUACGAAUACCGAAGAAUGUUAUCACGGGAGACACACGGCGGGUGCUAACGUCCGUCGUGAAGAGGGAAACAACCCAGACCGCCAGCUAAGGUCCCAAAGUCAUGGUUAAGUGGGAAACGAUGUGGGAAGGCACAGACAGCCAGGAUGUUGGCUUAGAAGCAGCCAUCAUUUAAAGAAAGCGUAAUAGCUCACUGGUCGAGUCGGCCUGCGCGGAAGAUGUAACGGGGCUAAACCAUGCACCGAAGCUGCGGCAGCGACGCUUAGGCGUUGUUGGGUAGGGGAGCGUUCUGUAAGCCGUUGAAGGUGUCCUGUGAGGGGUGCUGGAGGUAUCAGAAGUGCGAAUGCUGACAUAAGUAACGAUAAAGCGGGUGAAAAGCCCGCUCGCCGGAAGACCAAGGGUUCCUGUCCAACGUUAAUCGGGGCAGGGUGAGUCGACCCCUAAGGCGAGGCCGAAAGGCGUAGUCGAUGGGAAACAGGUUAAUAUUCCUGUACUUGGUGUUACUGCGAAGGGGGGACGGAGAAGGCUAUGUCAGCCGGGCGACGGUUGUCCCGGUUUAAGCAUGUAGGCGGAGGUUCCAGGUAAAUCCGGUACCUUAUUAACGCUGAGGUGUGAUGACGAGGCACUACGGUGCUGAAGUGAUAAAUGCCCUGCUUCCAGGAAAAGCCUCUAAGCAUCAGGUAACACGAAAUCGUACCCCAAACCGACACAGGUGGUCAGGUAGAGAAUACCAAGGCGCUUGAGAGAACUCGGGUGAAGGAACUAGGCAAAAUGGUGCCGUAACUUCGGGAGAAGGCACGCUGAUAUGUAGGUGAAGCCCCUGCGGGCGGAGCUGAAAUCAGUCGAAGAUACCAGCUGGCUGCAACUGUUUAUUAAAAACACAGCACUGUGCAAACACGAAAGUGGACGUAUACGGUGUGACGCCUGCCCGGUGCCGGAAGGUUAAUUGAUGGGGUUAGCGGCAACGCGAAGCUCUUGAUCGAAGCCCCGGUAAACGGCGGCCGUAACUAUAACGGUCCUAAGGUAGCGAAAUUCCUUGUCGGGUAAGUUCCGACCUGCACGAAUGGCGUAAUGAUGGCCAGGCUGUCUCCACCCGAGACUCAGUGAAAUUGAACUCGCUGUGAAGAUGCAGUGUACCCGCGGCAAGACGGAAAGACCCCGUGAACCUUUACUAUAGCUUGACACUGAACACUGGUCCUUGAUGUGUAGGAUAGGUGGGAGGCUUUGAAGCGUGGACGCCAGUCUGCGUGGAGCCAACCUUGAAAUACCACCCUUUAAUGGCUGGUGUUCUAACGUAGACCCGUAAUCCGGGUUGCGGACAGUGUCUGGUGGGUAGUUUGACUGGGGCGGUCUCCUCCCAAAGAGUAACGGAGGAGCACGAAGGUUGGCUAAUCCUGGUCGGACAUCAGGAGGUUAGUGCAAUGGCAUAAGCCAGCUUGACUGCGAGCGUGACGGCGCGAGCAGGUGCGAAAGCAGGUCAUAGUGAUCCGGUGGUUCUGAAUGGAAGGGCCAUCGCUCAACGGAUAAAAGGUACUCCGGGGAUAACAGGCUGAUACCGCCCAAGAGUUCAUAUCGACGGCGGUGUUUGGCACCUCGAUGUCGGCUCAUCACAUCCUGGGGCUGAAGUAGGUCCCAAGGGUAUGGCUGUUCGCCAUUUAAAGUGGUACGCGAGCUGGGUUUAGAACGUCGUGAGACAGUUCGGUCCCUAUCUGCCGUGGGCGCUGGAGAAUUGAGGGGGGCUGCUCCUAGUACGAGAGGACCGGAGUGGACGCAUCACUGGUGUUCGGGUUGUCAUGCCAAUGGCACUGCCCGGUAGCUAAAUGCGGAAGAGAUAAGUGCUGAAAGCAUCUAAGCACGAAACUUGCCCCGAGAUGAGUUCUCCCUGAGACUUUAAGUCUCCUGAAGGAACGUUGAAGACGACGACGUUGAUAGGUCGGGUGUGUAAGCGCAGCGAUGCGUUGAGCUAACCGAUACUAAUGAACCGUGAGGCUUAACCUU